CGGGACGGGUGAGUAACGCGUGGAAAACCUGCCGUAUACUGGGGGAUAACACUUAGAAAUAGGGUGCUAAUACCGCAUAAGCCGCACAGCUUCGCAUGAAGCGGUGUGAAAAACUCUGGUGGUAUACGAUGGUUCCGCGUCUGAUUAGCUAGUUGGUGGGGUAAUGGGCCUACCAAGGCAACGAUCAGUAGCCGGCCUGAGAGGGUGAACGGCCCACAUUGGGACUGAGACACGGCCCAAACUCCUACGGAAGGCAGCAG
rnacentral:rRNA from 1 species